GGAGAUUACUUCAAAAUUGGCCACAAGGGGCAACGGUGAGCACUAUUACCAUGAAUUAGUCAUGUGUUCAAUCCCAGUGCCAGGCACUUUAAAUGACUUAACCCUAUCCCAAACCUUACCCAUUUGUGAAUUAAUGCCUAAACCGUAAAGGUAUAUGGACAAAUGUUCCAUUCUGCAGUGAGACAGCUUGUUGCCAAGCCAUGGGCUUGUCCAGUGAGCAGAGUGUAGGCCUACGGUUUGAAGCAGCCAGGAGGAGCGAGCACAAAGAAAAGUGUUUUUGCCCGUGCCACCGAAUCCCACAGCUUAGGUGCCAAAUGGCUACCUUCCAAGAAUUAAUGUGCUCUUUGUAAAACAUUUGCACAUCUAGGCUGCCGAUGUUAGUCUUGGCUUUUGUUCAGUACAGAUGAACCCUCUAGAAGCAGCCCUGUAGGAGCGAGCCCACCACAGGGAUGAGGAGCGUGAAUGCACUGGACUGCAAGGUCACACUGGCUCCUUGAGGAAUGGAGACGUUCGUGGUACUGGCAUUCGUGGUACUGGCGUUCGUGGUACUGGCGUUCGUGGUACUGGCGUUCGUGGUACUGGCGUUCGUGGUACUGGCGUUCGUGGUACUGGCGUUCGUGGUACUGGCGUUCGUGGUACUGGCGUUCGUGGUACUG